rnacentral:rRNA from 1 species
UACGGAGGGUGCAAGCGUUAUCCGGAUUCACUGGGUUUAAAGGGUGCGUAGGUGGGCAGUUAAGUCAGUGGUGAAAUCUCCGAGCUUAACUCGGAAACUGCCAUUGAUACUAUCUGUCUUGAAUAUCGUGGAGGUAAGCGGAAUAUGUCAUGUAGCGGUGAAAUGCUUAGAUAUGACAUAGAACACCAAUUGCGAAGGCAGCUCACUACACAAUUAUUGACUCUGAGGCACGAAAGCGUGGGGAUCAAACAGG